rnacentral:piRNA from 1 species
AUGUAGAAUUUUUAACUUGGAGCACU